ACUGGAUUCCUGCUUGGCGCUGGCAAGCACUCUGGGGUCAUGAGGUUAGUAGGAGGGAAAUGGGCCAGACAGACAACAAGAAAGGAGGACUUGUGAGGUUUUUGAAAGGAACAAAGAGUGCAUCAAAGAACUUCGUCACCAAUACGUCCAGAGAGUCAUGGAGUUGGAGCCCAAUCAAGUCACACAUGAAAUUAUCUAUGCUGAAGAGGCUCGCUUCAACUUGGUGAAAAGGCGUCAUCGUGGGAGAUACAAAAUAGGCCAAAGGACCACACUUACUGUGCCGGGCCAGAGAAGAAGAAGCCGGGCAAACGCAGAAGAC